rnacentral:tRNA from 1 species
GCCGUCUUAGCUCAGUUGGUAGAGCGGCGCACUCGUAACGCGCAGGCCAUCGGUUCGAUCCCGAUAGAUGGCU